CCCUAUGGGGUGCCUCUCACCUGUAUAUUCAUGAUCACGGAGAUGACCGGCAACUAUGGUGGCUUGCCGUCUCUGAUUAUUUGUUGCAUCACCAGCUAUACCGUGGCUCGCAUUCUGUUGAAGGGUGGGUCCAUUUACACUAUCAAGCUGAUGAGAAAGGGCAUUUAUCUCGAUCUUCCCCAGCCGGUGCUCUCCGAAGUAUCGGUGGGGGAGGCGAUGCACAAAGAGGUGAUCGCCGUCAGCCCUCUCUGCAGGAUCUCGGAGGUGAGAGAUGGCAUCUACCGUUACAACUAUACUGGUUUCCCCGUGGUGGAUGAAGGCCGUCUGGUGGGGAUGAUAACCUUUGAUGAUAUCAGGAGAAUUCCCCCGCAUGAGCAGGAGAAGAUGACAGUAAAUGAAUUGGCGGGGGAGC
rnacentral:rRNA from 1 species